UCGAUGCGCUCAUUCGCGCAGUCCGAGGUGCCGACGCACGAAAUGCCUAGUCUCGAGCUCGAGGAGUCGACACUCGAUGUGCUUAUUCGCGCAGUCCGAGGUGCCGACGCACGAAAUGCCUAGUCUCGAGCUCGAGGAGUCGACACUCGAUGUGCUUAUUCGCGCAGUCCGAGGUGCCGACGCACGAAAUGCCUAGUCUCGAGCUCGAGGAGUCGACACUCGAUGCGCUCAUUCGCGCAGUCCGAGGUGCCGACGCACGAAAUGCCUAGUCUCGAGCUCGAGGAGUCGACACUCGAUGUGCUUAUUCGCGCAGUCCGAGGUGCCGACGCACGAAAUGCCUAGUCUCGAGCUCGAGGAGUCGACACUCGAUGCGCUCAUUCGCGCAGUCCGAGGUGCCGACGCACGAAAUGCCUAGUCUCGAGCUCGAGGAGUCGACACUCGAUGUGCUUAUUCGCGCAGUCCGAGGUGCCGACGCACGAAAUGCCUAGUCUCGAGCUCGAGGAGUCGACACUCGAUGUGCUUAUUCGCGCAGUCCGAGGUGCCGACGCACAAAUGCCUGGUCUCGAGCUCGAGGAGUCGACACUCCAUGUGCUUAUUCGCGCACUCAGAGGUGCCGACACACGAAAUGCCUAGACGCGGGAUCGAGGAGUCAACGCUCGAUGCACUUAUUC
rnacentral:lncRNA from 1 species